rnacentral:rRNA from 1 species
UCUACGGGUGGCUGCAGUGGGGAAUAUUGGACAAUGGGCGAAAGCCUGAUCCAGCCAUGCCGCGUGUGUGAAGAAGGCCUUCGGGUUGUAAAGCACUUUCAGUGGGGAAGAAAGCCUUGGGGCUAAUACCCUCGAGGAAGGACAUCACCCACAGAAGAAGCACCGGCUAACUCCGUGCCAGCAGCCGCGGUAAUACGGAGGGUGCGAGCGUUAAUCGGAAUUACUGGGCGUAAAGCGCGCGUAGGCGGUCUGAUAAGCCGGUUGUGAAAGCCCCGGGCUCAACCUGGGAACGGCAUCCGGAACUGUCAGGCUAGAGUGCAGGAGAGGAAGGUAGAAUUCCCGGUGUAGCGGUGAAAUGCGUAGAGAUCGGGAGGAAUACCAGUGGCGAAGGCGGCCUUCUGGACUGACACUGACGCUGAGGUGCGAAAGCGUGGGUAGCAAACAGGAUUAGAUCCCCCUGUAGUC